CCUCCUGGCGUGAUGCACCCAGGUCACCUGUCUGAAGUUGGGGCCUCCCCUGACAAACCUCCAUUGACGGGGCACUCGAUGGUGACUGAGGUCGUGGAGGUCUGGUCCCGGGGCCAAUGGGCCGCGUGCAAGGCUGACUUUGCUCGUGGGGGGGCGGGGCACGUGGUGACGCCAGCUUGGCCGCCCGAGUCCUGGGUGCACAUUCCUGCUUGUCCUCUGAAGCCGGCGCCCAUCUGGUGCCCACUCAGCGGGGGUUAUGGGCCGUGGUUUCUGCUUUUCGGGAGGUGCGUUACCAGGGGUGCGUGUGUCUGUCUUGCCCCUCAGGAGCUCUGUGAGGACGGUGAGGGCACUUACUGUCAUCUCCAGUUCUGAUGACAAGUGGGGCCACAGCGCCUGGGUCCCCGGGGCCACGUGCGCAUUCGUGACGUUGCAGGGACCUGAGCAGGGGAGGCCCUGCUGCGCACACGGCGAUCUGAGCCCGGGGACCUGUGACCAGCCCCUGUGUCCACGGCCGGGCCGGUGCUGGGCAUGGUGGGGGGGGGGGGAGGCAGCUCCUGACAGCCUGGGGGCACCCUGUCCAGGGGACUCCGCUCCUCCCUGCCGCCCACCCCGGGCCAGGCAGGGUGGAGGGCACAAGUGAUGGCGGAGAGGGCGGCCGGGACUCCCCAGGGUUCAGGGUCCCCUCGGAGCCCCUGCCUCCUCCACGCGUAGCUUUGUCUUCUAAGAUCAGAAGGACCGUUAGGGGUUACAAACGGCUGCUCAGAGCAGCCCGGCACACGGUCUGUCGUCCGCAGACCCCUCUGCCCACGGCCCCUGCGCAGGAACCCCUGCGAGCCGGCUCUGUGAACACACCCGGGGCUGCUGGCGGGUGAAGCCAGAGCCCCAAGGAACGUUUGCUUCCUCUUCCUGCUCGGGGCACCCUCACCAGGCUGUUGGCUGGAGGGUGUUUUGUUUUUCCUUUUCUUAACCUCUGAUGGCUGGACAGCGGCCCGGUGGCCGCGAUGACCUCCGGAGGGACCUGGCAGGGACAGGCCCGGACUGGGGGCCUGGGAAGCCGGCCCAGCGCUCUCCCGUCUCUGGGGAAGACCCUGCCGUCCUCCCCCGCACUUGACGGCAGAACCUCUGUUCACGACAGAACCACUAGCAACUGUCUCGGAAGGCCUGGCGCCUGCUCGCAGGCGAGGACGGAGGCCCCUGUCGCCAAUGUGGGGCUGAGAGCAGUUCCGCAGCUGCCUGUGGCCGUGUGGGCUGGAGCACGGCGGGGGGUGGGGUGGGGCGCGGACUGAGGUCAGGGGUGACGCAGGCUGUGAGCUGGCUUAGCGGGGCUCCGGGCGUCCGAGGUGGAGGGGCUGUCCUCCCCCGUUUGCCUCCGCCCGGUUCUGGGGGAAGGAAGAGCCUGGCCGGCCUUGUGCCUCCCGGUCGGCGUGACUCCGGGCAUCGCCUGAGCCCGUGUGGGGGUGCGGGGGGGGCCGGUUUAUUCUUGGUUCACUGGAGCAGGAGCUCCUGAGGCCAAGGUCAGGGCCGUGGCAGCACCUCCGGCCGGCGCGGGGCAAGUCUAAGGCCGUCUUUGUGGAACGUGCUCUGGCCCUGCCCGGGGGUGGAGAGAUGGCCGACAAGAGUUUGACCGGGUGUGGGCGAGGGGGGGGGCACCCCUGCAAGCACUGGCCAGGCUGGUUAACCUUUGAAGACAUCUGCCUCUUUUGUGGGCUUGACUUUGGACUUGAUCUCGGCAGAGAAAAAUCUAGAUGCAGAGAGACCUUGGUGAAAGUCACUAUAGUUUGAAGGUUAACCUUGCUUGUUAUCACUUCCUUUGCGGAGUCAGAUAAUGUGUUGGGAGGGGUGAGGUGGGCGGGCAGCAGGAGAGUUAAUGUUUAAUUGGCACCCUGGCUGCCCUCGGCUCUGUGCCCAGUGCCGUCCGGAGCUGGUUGGCGGGAAAACAGGCCCUAGCGCCCGUGUCCUGGCACCAGGACAUCCCGAGAGGGCCCAGGGGGCUGUUCGCGGGUCACUGGCUUCUUCCCGUGGCCUCUAGAGCGUGGCCCAUCCUGUCCGGCCUGGACUCUGGAGUUUGCGAGCUCUGUACAGAAGCAAAACAAAACCCUGAAGUACCUCUAGCAAUUUUCGUCUGUAAGAGCACUUGUAGAAAUGACCAUACGUUGGCUGUUUUACGUUAAAUAACAUAGAGGACGCACGUUCACGUCACAUACUUCUUUUUGCCUUUUGUAAGGUGGCUACUAGAAAAUUUAAAUUUUUUUGUUAAGGUUUAUGCAUUUUUCAGAGACAGAGCACGAGCAGGGGAGGGGCAGAGAGAGAGGGAGACACAGAGUCCCAAGCAGGCUUCGGGCUCCGAGCCGUCAGCGCAGAGCCCGACGCGGGGCUCGAACUCAAUGACGGAGAGACCAUGACCCGAGCCGAAGUCAGACGUUCAACUGACUGAGCCACCGAGGCACCCCAGAAAAUUUAACAUUAGACACGUGGCUGGCAUUGUAUUUUUCGGGCCGGCACCGGUCUGGCCGUUUUGAAUGGGAGAAGUGACCGUGGCGAACCCGGGAGCGUUGCUGGCGCCUGGCCCUGCUGGGGGUGCCCGCUCUUGGUGGACCGGUGAGUCCCGGCCACGACCCGUGGGGCAGGAGCCCCGCUUCUGGCUGGCGGAGGGAGGCUGCCCACCGGCCUGCCGGUGGGGAAGAUGUGUGUCACCAGAGACGUUGUAGGGUUGGGUUACCUUCUUUUGAUUUAAAUGAGUUCGAGCCCCGCGUCGGGCUCCGUGCUGACGGCUCGGAGCCCGGAGCCCGUUUCGGAUUCUGUGUCUCCCUCUCUCUGCCCCUCCCCCGUUCAUGCUCUGUCUCUCCCUGUCUCAAAAAUAAAUAAAACGUUAAAAAAAAAAUUAAAAAAAAUUGUUUAUGUCUGCACUUAACUGUUUCUCGUUAAAUAAAAUUUUCAGUAGAAUAACAUUUUUCGUAACACGAAUACGUGAUUGUUGUAGAAGCUUGGAGAACGCAGAUGCUUCUGCUGGGUUCCUGGCUCACUAAACCACCCGCUGGGCGUGGGGGCUGCUGCCCCACGGUCUCCCAGCCCCGCGGGUCUCGGGGCCUGUCCGGUGUCAUCCCUGGGUCUCUGCUGUCCCUUUUGCGGGGUCAGUGGGCUCAGGCGUGUCGUCUUUCUCUCUGCUAAUGUGUGCCCCCACCUCAGCCCCGGCCCGCCCCUGGGCUUUCUGUGUGGCCUCAGUGGCACCUGUUGGGUUCCGUGGGCCUUUCUUGGAUGGUCGGGAUCAGGCACUUCUGGUCUCUGGACAAAAGACGUAUUAAUGAACUUUGACGUGGAUGAUUCUGAAACAUUUUUAGAUUAGAAAUCGUCUGGUCCCCCGUUGUCCUCAGACCACCGUCUGCACCUGCCGGGCCCGCGGUCCUGUGAGUCUCCACGGCUCGGAUUAGGGACACUUUGCCUUUGCAGACGCUCUGACGCCCACCGACGGCUGCUUCAUAUCACUGCAGGGAGGGCUUUUCUUCCAGUUGCGAGAGUUCUAGAGAACUGUGACGCCGGGUCACGCCGGAGUGAGCGGCCGCGUUCCAACGGGUGCCCCGUGUGGCCAGGAUGUCCUCGGCCCACGGACCGUUCCUGGCGCGUAUUCCAUUCGUGCCGGAAACCCUUCCUGCUUGGGCGUUUUCUUAGGGUCUGUGUGCGGGGAGCCUGCAGACUAGCAAGGGUGAUGGGGAUCCAGCUGGAUGGAGCUUCCUUGAGCCAAACCUCUGAAAAUAGCAGAUGUGUGUCUCCUACCUUUUUUCUCCCUUUUUGCAUCGUCUGGCGGUCAGUGAGGGUCGGAGCGGAGGCGGGUGACCGUGGGGCUGCUCUGGGCCUCGUGGAUGGAAGGGCGGUGGGUGGCCCCCGU